AAGACUACGCGCUUCGUAGGCGCGGCAGAAUACACGCAAGAACACCGGUUCACGGCAGUAGUCGUAGACGUUAACUCCCGGUUUACGCACGCGUGUUGUGUCGCAAUCGGAAUUC
rnacentral:lncRNA from 1 species